rnacentral:rRNA from 1 species
AAAGCCGCGAGGUGGAGCAAANCCCUAAAAGGCGUCUCAGUUCGGAUUGCAGGCUGCAACUCGCCUGCAUGAAGUCGGAAUUGCUAGUAAUCGCGGAUCAGCAUGCCGCGGUGAAUACGUUCCCGGGCCUUGUACACACCGCCCGUCACACCAUGAGAGCCGGGAACACCCGAAGUCCGUAGUUUAACCGCAAGGAGGACGCGGCCGAAGGUGGGUUUGGUAAUUGGGGUGAAGUCGUAACAAGGUAGC